AAAGGCUUAGGUUAACUAAGACCAAAGGCCUUCAAAGCCUUAAGCGGAAGUGAAAAUCCUCCAGCCUUUG
rnacentral:tRNA from 1 species